AAUGGGCGCAAGCCUGACCCAGCAACGCCGCGUGAAGGAAGAAGGUCUUCGGAUUGUAAACUUUUGUUGUCAGGGAAGAAAAAGGACAGUACCUGACGAGAAAGCCCCGGCUAACUACGUGCCAGCAGCCGCGGUAAUACGUAGGGGGCGAGCGUUGUCCGGAAUUACUGGGCGUAAAGGGCGCGUAGGCGGCAUGUCAAGUUAGAUGUGAAAUCCCCGGGCUUAACCUGGGAGGUGCAUUUAAAACUGGCAAGCUUGAGUGCAGGAGAGGGAAGCGGAAUUCCUAGUGUAGCGGUGAAAUGCGUAGAUAUUAGGAGGAACAUCGGUGGCGAAGGCGGCUUUCUGGACUGUAACUGACGCUGAGGCGCGAAAGCGUGGGGAGCAAA
rnacentral:rRNA from 1 species